rnacentral:rRNA from 1 species
UACGGGGGGGGCAAGCGUUGUUCGGAAUUACUGGGCGUAAAGGGCUCGUAGGUGGCCAACUAAGUCAGACGUGAAAUCCCUCGGCUUAACCGGGGAACUGCGUCUGAUACUGGAUGGCUGGAGUUUGGGAGAGGGAUGCGGAAUUCCAGGUGUAGCGGUGAAAUGCGUAGAUAUCUGGAGGAACACCGGUGGCGAAGGCGGCAUCCUCGACCAACGCUGACGCUGAGGAGCGAAAGCCAGGGGAGCAAACGGU